CCACCAUCCAGCUUCAUAUCCCUGGGAAACAGAAACCAGAGCAGAAACAGCUCUUAAUACACAUGCCUUGUUCACCUUCCACCACCCAAUGCUGAAAUAAGGUUGCACCUCAUACCCCACCUAUGCAGCAGAGCAAGGCUCCCCAUCAUCGGGUGCCUCUGACAGAACCUGGCACUGGGAAGGAACUGGAAGUCAUGUACAAUUCAGGUAAGAUCCAACAAUCAUCUAGCUUGAACGUUUGACUGCCACGUAUCCAGCAGACAGAUGCUCCCAGAGUACAUACCCACGUUGGACAGAGGUAACUGCCCGUGAAAGCCUUCAGGAGGGAUUCCUGCUCCUCCGAGCCCAGGAGAGUGUCCAAAGCCCAGUGACACUCCUGCUGGAGGCCUGCAGGAGAAGUCCAGCUCUCCAUCGCCUCGCGAUGGAAACUUGGGAAUCUACUUUAGAAGGACCGACCCAUUCAGCAUCUACCACUUGGAGGUAAAUGAGAUGCCUGAGACAACCAGGCUGUAACCCAUGCUUUAGCCUCACCAUCAAAAUGUGAGUGAAAGUAAAAAAGACUAUGAGCAAAUGUAUGCUCUGCAAAUGACAGCUGUAUACAACUCCAAACUACUUAUCUCACAAUAUUUUCCUGGCUGACUUCCGCUGAGGUCCAAGUAUGUGCUUAAAAAUCUGUCUGGGAGAGAUGCUGACACUGAGGCAGGGAGAAACCCUGCAGGCUCUUCACCCGAUUGCAGGACUGGGCUGUCUCCUACUGUGUCUCUGCAGACCCUGUUUCCUUGUCUUCCCUUUCCAACCUGUCACUCAUUUUAUUUCUCUGAAACACGGCAAACAGUGAGUUUCCAAUAAAUCAUGUACCUUACUGCUGGAAAAA